AUAACGACUCUCGGCAACGGAUAUCUCGGCUCUCGCAUCGAUGAAGAACGUAGCGAACUGCGAUACUUGGUGUGAAUUGCAGAAUCCCGUGAACCAUCGAGUCUUUGAACGCCUGGGUGUCACA
rnacentral:rRNA from 1 species